AACUUGAUAUAUGUAGAGAAUAACUUUUACUAUAUCAAUUAAUUUCAACAUUUAUCUUUAAUUGUAUGGUAAUUUGAACUUGGAUAAUUGACGUUUAGGCAUUAGUAGGCACAUGACUAAUGGUUAAACGUCAAUGACGGUGGACAUACACAGAAGAGCAAAAUCCACUUCGGCAAGAAAUUAUUGAUUCCUAUCAUUAUUUAGAAAUUGGAGAUGGAUCUUUAAAUUGAGAAAAUAUUUAAGUGCAUAAUGUUUGCAUUUCUAUUUAUGAAUUGAGAAGAUAUUUAAGUGCAUAAUGUUUGCAUUUAUAUUUUUUUCAUAAAUUAAAAUGCUCAAGUAAGAGGGCGAGCUGUACAGCAGAGAGACACAAAAUAUAAAAAAGUCUCGAAAACUAGCAAAACAAACAAGGCCAAAGACAACCAUCUACAAAUCUAUCACAAACGAAAAAAAUAAACUAACCAAAGGCGGUCAUAAACUAUAAAACCAAUUAACGCAAAAGGAUCACCUACCACGACAGAGGAAAGAAGAAGCCGAGAGUCACAAAAUCUGUACAGCAUCAAGAUUUUCUUCCUCUGAUCCAACUCGUUGCAUCAGCUUAAGGCCAUAUUUGAUAUUUUCUCCAAGAGCAGCAAGAGCCAUUCGCCUUAGAAGUUUACCUUGUCGAAAGAGGCCUUACCUUUCACAAUUCUGCUAAAAAUGUGACGCCAAACUGCUCAUACUUUGUUCGAGCUGCAUUCAGCCGCCUUGUCGUGGCUAAUGCCAAUGGGGGCCCGAGAAAUUUCCUUACCGUGAAGCCGGAAAGCGCCUCUUGCUCGGAAUCUGAUGGCGGUGGCUCACAUUGCUCCGAGUCAGCUAUUAGAUGGUUCGUUAAAUGCGGGAAUUGCUUCUUCGAUAGAGAGGUUGAAGAUGCAGACACAAAUUCCAAAUCGAGGGCUGAGGAAGAAGACAGCAAGCAGCAACUGAGUCCAAUCUCCGUCUUCGGAGAAACAGAUCCAGAUCAAGAUUCACCAAUUUAUUACAAGCAAGGCAGCAUCAAGACUUUAAGCUCAACAGCACAAUGCAAAUUGAAGCAACCACAACUUUAUGUUACGAGAAAAUCAAGAGAACCAGAGCCAUGCAACAAAUACAUUGUAAACAAGAUGGCAUUGGACCAAAUAGUGCGGCAAGAAUUGAUAGAAAAGAACAAGGAAAAAGGAGAAAAUGCUGUUUUUGAGCAACAAAAAUGGGAGAUUUCUAUGGAGAUUGAGAACGAAAUACUUGAAAAUGUUAUCCAUGAUAUUGUAAUAACAUGGCUGGAUUGGAAAUAUUUCAUGGCAUAAAUUUCGUGGUUCUAAA